GAAGAAGAGAUGGAGGAAGAUGAAAUAGAGGCGCCUCUAAGUAGUAUAGAAAUGGCCCAGAGGAUGAAGAAACUGGUAGACCCAGGCCCAUUCAAAUACAAUAGAAAAGUGUUUCUGGCGGCUCUACCAUGUUUUCUCAUUAUUUUGGCCAUAUGUGGAGAACCGCUUUUGCUGUUGGUAUCACUUGGGGUAAUUCUGAUUCUUGUGGUUGACACAGGGAGCAAAAAUCAGAGGACAGUGAUGGUGUUUACAUUUGUUUUCAUACCGUGCCACAUGACCAUACUGUAUUACACAUUUCCUCUUGUGUGGGUUUCAAUCGUGAAUCUUUUGCUGAUGAUCAUGAUGAAUUCUUUCAUCUUGUUGACUGGGGGAUGGAUCCUCCUUCAGAUGAUCAUCUUUAGAAAACAGGAGCCAGAGGUUUGUGUGUUUCUGGAGCAGCUGCUGUUCUCCUGUUACCCUGCUCUGUCAGCAUGUCUCACAACUUGGGCCAUUGCCACAUUUAUUCCUCUCAAAUAUGUCCCAUUCAUUUUGCUUUCUGUAGGAUUUAUUUUAUUUCAAGUCUUCGUAACACCAUCAUCUUCGUCUUUUAAAAACAAUCGGAAGGAUCACAAAGAUGAUGUGAAUAUCCUUAACAACAGCAUCAUUGCUGCCAUGACAGCUGGAUUUUGUUUACUCCCUAUUUCUCUGCAGAUUUUCAUUGGUGUCCAUGAGAGAGGUUUCCAUGGAGUCGUUCAUUUAGGCUUUUUUUGAAGCAGUUUUCCUUUUGUGCUUGGCCUUGUUUAUGUCGACUUUAAUGAACAUCAGGCAUGUUGUAGAAGUAAUUGGGUUUCAGUACAGCAUUGUGGUCCAACUUCGGAGUCUGUGUGGUGGCCUGGCAGCUCUUCUGUCCUAUCCUAUGUUUUUAGAAUUGGGGGUCACCUCACAUUUCCUGUCAUGGCUGCCUUUUGCAAUUGGAGUAUAUGCUGUGUAUGGAACUUUGUUAAGCUUUAAAAAACUCAAGGUUGUUUCACUGGUGUUUUUUGUACUAGCAGUGAUAUUGUCUAUGGUUUGGGCAAUCAAAUUGCCAUGGAAGCUUUCAUAUACCUUUAUGUUUGGGAUUUCUUUGAAGAUGAUAUUUUCGCUGAUGAUUGCUAACUCAGUGCUGUGCCUGAUAGUUGCUCAUCUCUCUUGUCAUGGAUCCCAAGCAGCAUUCAGUUUCCUUGUUGUGAUGCAGACUAUUGUGUUUAUAAAGUGUGAGGUGAUUCUCUUUGACUCCCAUCUAUACAGCUGGCCACUGUCUAUGGUUACUGGCAUUGCUGCAUCUUACACUUUGCAAAGAUUGCAGGUUGCAAGACGACUACCAGUCAGCUUGUCCUGUGCCUGUAUGUCAGCCCACGUCACAAAGUCAGUGCUGGUUGCCAUGGUGAUCUUCACGAAGGAGGCUAGGGAGCUGCCCUACACCAGCAUCUUAACCAUGUUCUUCUUGAUAUUUAUGAUGAUCAAAGUUCUACUGCUAGAAGUUCCCAUUGAUAUACCAAAGAAACAGCUGACCAUUAAUGUGAGCCUGAUGUGUGUCUCUGUGCUACUGAAUGCUAACCCUGUCCUCUUUAUUCUGGGCUCUUAUCUGUUCAAGGUCCAGGCCAGCGCUGCUGAUGCAAUGGGGAUCUGUUUUAUAAUUUGUGGCAUGCUGAUCAUAGCAACCUGCAUCCUUCACCUCCCAAACGAAGUCAAGAUGAAGCAAUUUGGAAUUUUGGGAGUGGUUACAGGGGUGAUUGUCAUCUUAUUCCAGCCGGAUGUAUCAUUUACAGUGAAUGGCAUAUUUCAGUGCAGUGAAGUAAUAAGCAUUAUGUGUAUGAUUGUCAUUAUGUACACGGACAGUGUUCAGUCAUUUCCACACAUCGUGAUAGCGUCUGUACUAGUUGGAAUCACCCCGGGAAUCCGAGCCGCGCUCUAUCUGUAUCCUACGGAUCAUGUGCCAAUUACCAAUCUCAUUUUGUUUGGAAGCGUAUCCAUGUGUCUUGUGUGCGCUCUCUUUUCUUUCUCAAAAUCUCAACAUCUGGGAUGCAAGUUUGAGAAAAAUAUACUCGCAGUAUGUAUGCUGGUGGUCACCCUCAGUGUCCUCUCCUUGAUUGUUGACCUGGUAUCCAAGGAACGCAAACAACCCAUUAUGCAUCUGCCAUCUUGGAAGCUCUUUCUUGCUGCCAAUCUUAUCAUCUGUACUUGCACAAAAAUAGUUGUUUCUAGGACAUCUGAAUAUAUUCCAUUGCAUGAGAAGGACAACAGAGAAAUUCCCUAUCUACCGUUAGUGGGCAACAUCACAACCAUCACUUCCUUCUUCUUCCUGUGUCUGUUGGGGCCUGCUACAGGCUUACUGUAUGAUAUUUGGUGUUGCGGAUCAAGUGUUAUUCUUAUGUGCCUACAGAAAGAUAUGAAAACCAUAUACAAUCUCAAAGACUCCAACCACACAACUCCCACCAAGCUGACUGCUGUUGCAGUUUUGGUCCUAUCUUCUGUUUGUCGUAGUGACCUUUGGCAUUCAAGUUCAUGGACUUUUGUGAGGUCGUGUCUAGAAAUUGGUCUCAUUCUUGGCACCACCCCUAUCUACUAUGUGCUGUGGGGGGUCUUAUGGAAGUCCACAGUGUUGCUGCCAGAGCCGGUGGUUGUGUUUUUGUUGCCACUUAAUGUUGCUAUGUUGCUCUACGGCAGCAGCUGGACAUGCUGGACAUUAGCCUUUGUAGGAGCUAGUUCUUCUAUCUGGUUGAUGUCAACACAAUUUAAAUUAAUUCCUUAUUCAGAAAAAAAAUGAUUCCUUUGUACUGAUUCGGUUUUUUACUAUAAUUUGCAUUGUUUUACUUUCUAAUAAUCAAUAAAAUUUCAAUG
rnacentral:misc_RNA from 1 species